rnacentral:rRNA from 1 species
UACGUAGGGUGCAAGCGUUAAUCGGAAUUACUGGGCGUAAAGCGUGCGCAGGCUGUUUUGUAAGUCAGAUGUGAAAUCCCCGAGCUCAACUUGGGAACUGCGUUUGAAACUACAAGGCUAGAAUAGGUCAGAGGGGGGUAGAAUUCCGCGUGUAGCAGUGAAAUGCGUAGAUAUGCGGAGGAAUAUCUAUGGCGAAGGCAGCCCCCUGGGAUCAUAUUGACGCUCAUGCACGAAAGCGUGGGGAGCAAACAGG